rnacentral:rRNA from 1 species
GCGGAAGCCUGAUGCAGCGACGCCGCGUGAGAAAUGACGGCCUUCGCGUUUUAAACCUCUUUCAGUAGGGAAGAAGCGAGAGUGACGGUACCUGCAGAAGAAGCGCCGCCUAACUACGUGCCAGCAGCCGCGUUAAUACGUAGGGCGCAAGCGUUGUCCGGAAUUAUUGGGCGUAAAGAGCUCGUAGGCGGUUCGUCGCGUCUGCUGUGAGAGCCCGGGGCUUAACGCCGGUUCUGCAGUGGGUACGGCCAGACUAAAGUGCAUUAGGGGAGACUGGAAUUCCUGGUGUAGCGGUGAAAUGCGCAGAUAUCAGGAGGAACACCGAUGGCGAAGGCAGGUCUCUGGGCUGUUACUGACGCUGAGGAGCGAAAGCAUGGGGAGCGAACAGGAUUAGAUACCCUGGUAGUCCAUGCCGUAAACGUUGGGCACUAGGUGUGGGGGACAUUCCACGUUUUCCGCGCCGUAGCUAACGCAUUAAGUGCCCCGCCUGGGGAGUACGGCCGCAAGGCUAAAACUCAAAGGAAUUGACGGGGGCCCGCACAAGCGGCGGAGCAUGCGGAUUAAUUCGAUGCAACGCGAAGAACCUUACCAAGGCUUGACAUUCACCGGACCGCACGAGAGAUAGUACUUCCCUUCGGGGCUGGUGGACAGGUGGUGCAUGGUUGUCGUCAGCUCGUGUCGUUAGAUGUUGGGUUAAGUCCCGCAACGAGCGCAACCCUCGGACUAUGUUGCCAGCACGUGAUGGUGGGGACUCAUAGGAGACUGCCGGGGUCAACUCGGAGGAAGGUGGGGAUGACGUCAAAUCAUCAUGCCCCUUAUGUCUUGGGCUUCACGCAUGCUACAAUGGCCGGUACAAAGGGUUGCGAUACUGUGAGGUGGAGCUAAUCCCAAAAAGCCGGUCUCAGUUCGGAUUGAGGUCUGCAACUCGACCUCAUGAAGUCGGAGUCGCUAGUAAUCGCAGAUCAGCAACGCUGCGGUGAAUACGUUCCCGGGCCUUGUACACACCGCCCGUCAAGUC